rnacentral:rRNA from 1 species
UACGUAGGGUGCGAGCGUUGUCCGGAAUUAUUGGGCGUAAAGAGCUUGUAGGCGGUCUGUCGCGUCUGCUGUGAAAAUCCGGGGCUCAACCCCGGACUUGCAGUGGGUACGGGCAGACUAGAGUGUGGUAGGGGAGACUGGAAUUCCAGGUGUAGCGGUGAAAUGCGUAGAUAUCUGGAGGAACACCGGUGGCGAAGGCGGCGUUCUGGACUGUCUCUGACACUGAAGAACGAAAGCCAGGGGAGCAAACGGG